rnacentral:tRNA from 1 species
GUGCCUAUAGUUCAGCGAUUAGAACUCUGGUUUGUGGUACCAGAAACGAGGGUUUGACUCCCUCUAGGCACCCCA